GGAGUUUGGACCGUCUCUCAGUUCCAAUGUGGCCGAUCACCCUCUCAGGUCGGCUACCGAUCGUCGACUUGGUGGGCCGUUACCUCACCAACUAUCUAAUCGGACGCGAGCCCACCCCAAACCGGUUUGCACCUUUUACCCCUGCACCAUGUGAUGCUGUGGUCUCAUGCGGUAUUAGCACCUGUUUCCAAGUGUUAUCCCCCUGUCUGGGACAGGUUGCUCACGCGUUACUCACCCGUCCGCCACUGGAAUUACCAGAAAUCCUGCCGAAGCUCUCAUUCCAAUAAUCCCCGUUCGACUUGCAUGUGUUAAGCACGCCGCCAGCGUUCGUCCUGAGCCACUGAUCAAACUACU
rnacentral:rRNA from 1 species